AGAUCGAAAAUAGGAGUAUAUCGAACUCCUAGUACUGCUCAUAAUAGAUUGUAGAUAACUGAUAUCGGCGAGGACUACAAUUGGACUUGCCACAUCUAAAAAUUUUACUCACAGGAGAAAUGAGAAGCUGAUAUUAAAACCUUACGGGGUUCCGAUUGACAUUUUGGGUAACGAGUGUCGAUGGGGACAUCGCGGUGGUUGUCACAGGCUUGAGGGGAGUACCGGGUCAUGACAAUGAGGGUUUCGAUGAUGAUGAGUUUGAUAUUCUCAUGUGACAGAAACUUAAUCAUUUUAGGUUUGUUGUACUUGCUACUAUUGCUCGUGAUGUUUUGGCUGCUUCCGUAUAAAUAGUUGCUUCAGAAUAUGCUUUUAGUACCGGUGGAUGGGUGCUUGAUGGAUAUAGGAGUUCUUUGACUCCUAAGGUUGUGCAAGCACUUAUUUGUGCUCAAGAUUGAUUACAUGGAUUGGCACAUGGUGAUCCGAAUUUGAUUAAAGAUGAUCUGGAUGAGCCCAAUAAACUUUAUUUUUGUAAUUAUUUUAUAAUUUUAUUUGUAUUUUAAUUUAUUAGAUUUGUCAAAGAUCAAUUUACCAUAUUUGUUAUUUUAUUUUUUUUAGAUUUGGCUAAUAUUGCAUUGGAGACAAUAGUUGAGUUUGAGUCGGACUAACGUGUUAUUUCUAUUGGCUAUUUGCACUUUUCCAGUAAUGUUAUCAUUAGGUAUUAUGCAACAUUUA